GCCUAUGGCCACGCCCCCCUGAACGUGUCCAAUCUCGUCUGAUCUCGGUCGGGCCUGGUUAGUACUUGGAUGGGAGACCACCUUGGAAUACCAGGUGCUGUAGGCA
rnacentral:rRNA from 1 species